GGUUUCGGCAGCAGUCCUUAUGCUCUUUAGAUCAAAAAGUUAUCUACAAAAAUUGCCUCUGUAAAAUUGCCACUGUACGUGAUUUAGGAUGUUCUGCUAUUCUAAGCAUGCUCUCAGUUAGGUGAGCCAACCACUGAAGGGAAAUCGGAUUCUAUUUCUACUGUCCAUAUAAGCAAGUUUGAUCAGUCAGUUUGAGCUAAUGAGGAUACUUAAGGACUCCGGGAAAUGUUUCUGUCUUCUUGUGAGUUAUGUCUCUAAAAGCAGUUAAUGGCCUUGUGCAUUUCCGUCAGGAUAAAGCUGACCCGUCCUAGUAAACUGCCAAUAGACAUAUUACAGGUAAGGGAAAAUGUAUUCAUUGUUGAAAUUAAACCCAAACAGAAUUCUGCAUGAAAGGGGAUGUCUUUUCCUCAACUGUGAGAUAGCACUGAGUGAUUUAACUGCACAAGGAAUUGGUGUUUGGCAUUGGUGUCUUCAAAGCCGUUAACAAGCUGUGACCUCUUACUGCCGUUUGUGUUCUGGCAGUAAAAAAUGUAUCUUCUGUCUUCUUGCAUCAUGUGUAGUUUAUACUAAUGUAUUUGUUAUUCAGUGUUUGCACACUCCUUAGAAAUGCAUUGGUUUUUCCACAUCAAUAAAAUACAUUGUUUGACAGGGGUUACAAUCCACUUGCACUUCCGUGAGUGCUUCUUGAUUGUAUCUCUUACAUCGUUUUGUAUGUGACCAUUCAAUUCUGUGAAAUAAACAGGUGGAGGAGGGAUACUGGUGGUGCUAAGGCUGGUAGGAAUUCUGCUGAAGAGAAUCUCCAGAGAAAAUACAAAGCAGCAAAUCAUCGGUGUGUCAAGAUGCCUCAUUGCAGUAAAAGAUCAAUAGGAAGCAGCAGCAAAUGGAAACUUUACUGUGAGUGGAAUACUGAAUUUGUAGGGAAAAUUGCUUUUUGUGUUUUAGUUAUUGAAAGUUGAGGUCUCCCUGAAGAAAGAUUAGAUUCUGUGAAGCUUCUGACCAAACUCUUACCAGUAGCUUCGUAGCACAAAAAGUUGACUUGUAUAUAGUCUGAUAUUCUUGAGUAUAAUGUGUGCCAAUUAGGUAGAGAUCAGUGACGGAUAAGUCACUUAUUCUGAAAUCAGAUAAUUCCUGUCUGUCGAGCUGAAUAUAUUUCACUGCCAAAUCUUCUGGGUAGGUGAAAAGUGCUUUCUACACCUCAUCCAUGGCUUCGUUAGGCUAUCUGCCUUUUAUUUAAUAUGCUGAAAGAAAUACGGAGUAGAAAACUACAUUUGUUGGAGACCAUAUUAAGCCAGUACUGAUUGAUUUGUAUUUGUACAGCCUGUAGAAUUUUAGAGAUGCUAUAAACAACAAAAACAGCAGUUUCACUAUCAUGGCAUUCUCCUAACAUAGGAAAUAGACUUUCACUCUUGUGCUUUUUACACAACCAUAUCUCUGCCAUCAGUUUAAGAGUGUAUAUAGUUGUGUGUGAUGAAGUUAACAGAGCUGAGAUAUCAAACUAAGGAGGUUUAGAAAGAAGAAAUAGUUCUAGUUUAUAGACUUAAUAUUCACCAGUUUCACGGGAGCUCUCCUAAUACCACACCCUCCUGAAUACUCUGCCAGAUCAGUUCCAAGAUCAGGAAUGUACUGAACCUCACUGAGGAAAGGAUCUUUAUUUUGUUGAUGGCUGAUAAUCCAGGGAACCAACAUUCAAAGGUAUAGAUACUAAAAAAGAAAAACAGAAGGAAAAAGAGAUCUUACCUCACCCACUGCAACAGCAGUUAGAACACUGUACAGCAUGUAAUCUGACUUUCCUAUACAGUGCCCAGUGGAAGCUCUAGGGGAAGUCACUGAAGCUGAAAACAAGUAAAAGAAAAGCAGAUUAAAACAUCUGAAUUUCACUGCAGCAUCCUUUAAAAUUCCAGUAGGUUCUAUGUCAGAUGCUUGUAUUUUUGCUGUUCACAUCACCAGCAAGAUCUAUGUUACAGGUUGUGCAUGACUAGAAAAACUGACAUGUAAAAGCUGAUCAAAGAAAAUUACAAAACAACUUUAUUCUGCACAUUAGUACAUAAUUGUGCUAAUAAACUAAUUUCACUAGGAACAUGUAUGUCUGAGGAAAGAUUCCCCAUGCAUGUACUGAGUUUGAACAAAGAUGUUCAAGAGCCAUUCUGCUGAUUGCAGAAAGCCUCUGUUUCUGCAUAUGCUGUUAAGGUGAGGCAGGCAAGCCAUUAUUGUGGUGUAGAUGGAUGGCUACAGUAGAUGCCUAUGGAGCAAUAGCUUACUAAUCUUUGCACCCUUUCAUAGGCUGUUAGAAUAUGAGGUGGGGUAAAUGAGUUUGUAAGGUUAUCCAGCUGCAUUUGUGAAAUGGAGAUGCAUUUAACUGGAUGCGAUUUCAGAUGUGAGAACUAGAUUCUCUACAGGCAAUCCAGGCAAUGAUUUCUUGUAUUACUACAGGAACAAGAGGGCUUUUUUUUUUUAACACAAUGUAUUUUUCAAAGUAUGACUGAAAAUCUGGAUCGAAGUCUCUAAGGUUCAACUGAUGCAGUAAUGAGCUACGACAGCUUGGUAUGCAAUAGCUGUACUGAUGACUGUGUCUGUAACUGCGGCAACAAUAUAGAGCAAAACUGAAAAUAGGGGUAAUUGGACCACCUUCAGGCUUUGAGAAGCUCUUUGCAAAAGAGUAGAGACAGCAACUGUAAAAUAUUCUGGUUUUCCUAAACUUGUAUUUGAGAGUCUUGUUGUCAAUGAAACAUGAUAGGUUUAUUUAAUAUGCUAUAGAAUACUGUAUGAGAAGGUUGCUUAUCCAAUACAAUUUUUCUCCUUAAUUUCAGCUGUAUGUAUGCUACUGCAGCUUCAGAACAUCUGGGUACAGCAAUUUUUUUCUUUUCUGCACCUGCAAGUGUAAGUACACACAUAAACAAAAAAGAAAUUAAAUCUUUCACAGAGCCAGAGAGAGGGGAAAAAAAAAACCACAAAAAAACCCCAACCAGUAAGCCAUGAAGCUCAGGGGAGCAGUAUGACAAGUGCUGAGCUGUAAACAAGCUUGAGAGGGAUUUAAUUCUUAUGACAAGCGCCAGUGGUAGCAUCUCACAUGGACUCAGCAUAUGCACACAUUUCAGAGGAGGAAUCACAGAGGACUUAAUGCAAAUGUAAAAAAGCUUAGAGCACAGCAGCCUAUGCUGCUCUAAAAAUAACCUCACAAAUCAGGAUGAGCUAGGGUUGUAAUUAUCUUGAUUUUUCAGAAUUUUGCUUGUUGUAAGAGUUUCUGGUUUACGUUCAUACUGUGAUUAGACUUCAUAACCCAAACUGCAAACGCUUUGGGGCAGGGAUUUUGUUAUAGGACAAGUAUAAGACCUAAUUGAGUGGUAUUUUAAGGGUGAUAGUACAAUAUAAAGGCUGAGUAACAGCUUCUGUACUCGGUUUUAAAGAAGCUUAUUUUAGGUCAGAAGCUUUUUGUUGUUGGUGUUUGUGAAGGAAAGAGAACUGAGAUGCAAUUUGGUAUCCAAAUUAAAUUUUAAAAGCGUCUAACGCACACUUAUUCCCUAAUUACAGUCAUGUCCUUUCUCUUUCAAAUAUGCUUAUAACUACCUUGUUACUUCAACAGCAUUCUGAAAAGUACAGGCUGCAAACUGUAACCCGCAGUCUGUGCUCAGGCAGAUUUCCCCAUGGCAGUUGAUCAGUUUGUGCUGCAAGAUGCAGCCAGUUUUCACAUAACCUUCAGGCAGGUUUGAGAUGAGUAGCAUGCUCCCUGUGCUCCAGCUGCUACUCAGCUUUGACUCAUUUACAAAAACAGAGCUGUGCUCUAUUCACCUUAGGUCUUCAAUCAAGCUGUUUUCACAGACUUAGGGAAUUGUAGGUGUUGAAGGGACCUCUGGAAAUCAGCUAGUCCAACCCCCUGGUAAAGCACGUUCCCUGCAGUAGGUUUUGUUUCUGCUUUCCGCAGUCUUCCAUUAAUUAGAUGAAGUUUACUAGAAAAGGGUUAAUAAUCCCUGGGAGUAUAGGUUUUGGUUGUCUGCAGGCUGAGCUAAAUUCUGCUGUGUUGGAUUGUGAUCAGCUAAAAUGCUUUCUUAUCAUAGUUCCUAUUUCCUAGCAAAAAUGGGCAAUAAUUACAGAACGAGAGUCUCUUGGACCAUGUCUUUCCUGCUCAUGUUGAUUGACAAUUGGAUGUAAAAUGUCAAUUACCAAAGUACUAUUAUGUUUUAAAUAAAUUGGUUUUUAAAUACAGUUUUAUGAUACUGAUAUUUCUGAAUACUGAUGCUGAUGUUUUUGAAUGAGAUUUUUUUUCACAACUGGAAAUUGGGUGUGCAAAUUACCCUACAUUUCAUAGAAUCAUCAAGGUUGGAAAACACCUCCAAGAUCAUCCAGUCCAACUGUCAACCUACCACCAAUAUUUCCCCACUAAACCAUAUUUGUAUAAUGUAAAUAAGCCUACAGCUUAGUAAUCAUCAUGAUGUAGUGAUCGGAGCUGAUAGUUUGGGCUCAAGGAAAUCCAGAAGGCUCUCUCCUUUCUUAACCCAAAAGACAGUGCAUGCCACUUUACCCACUUAGGGCUGCAUCUCAAACUUUCUCUUUGAUGGAGAAUUCACUUAUGCCCCUCAGUGGGUUACUGUUUUGAGUCCAGCUCAUAGCAUGGACACUGCAUCCCAUUGCUGUUAUGACAUGAUCCAGGAAGCUGUUCUCUUUAGCCUCAUAUGGCUCAACAGGUCCUGACAAAUU
ensembl:lncRNA